UACAGAGGGUGCGAGCGUUAAUCGGAAUUACUGGGCGUAAAGCGCGCGUAGGCGGCUUUGCAAGUCGGGUGUGAAAUCCCCAGGCUUAACCUGGGAACUGCAUUCGAGACUGCAUUGCUAGAGUAUGGGAGAGGGAAGUGGAAUUUCCGGUGUAGCGGUGAAAUGCGUAGAUAUCAGGAGGAACACCGGUGGCGAAGGCGGUUCUCUGGGCCUUACCUGACGCUGAGGAGCGAAAGCAUGGGGAGCAAACAGG
rnacentral:rRNA from 1 species